GAAGCUACUAUAAUGCAAGUCGACGCUUCUUUUCCCACCGGAGCUUGCUCCACCGGGAAAAGAGGAGUGGCGAACGGGUGAGUAACACGUGGGUAACCUGCCCAUCAGAAGGGGAUAACACUUGGAAACAGGUGCUAAUACCGUAUAACAAUCGAAACCGCAUGGUUUCGUUUUGAAAGGCGCUUUACGGUGCCGCUGAUGGAUGGACCCGCGGUGCAUUAGCUAGUUGGUGAGGUAACGGCUCACCAAGGCCACGAUGCAUAGCCGACCUGAGAGGGUGAUCGGCCACAUUGGGACUGAGACACGGCCCAAACUCCUACGGGAGGCAGCAGUAGGGAAUCUUCGGCAAUGGACGAAAGUCUGACCGAGCAACGCCGCGUGAGUGAAGAAGGUUUUCGGAUCGUAAAACUCUGUUGUUAGAGAAGAACAAGGGUGAGAGUAACUGUUCACCCCUUGACGGUAUCUAACCAGAAAGCCACGGCUAACUACGUGCCAGCAGCCGCGGUAAUACGUAGGUGGCAAGCGUUGUCCGGAUUUAUUGGGCGUAAAGCGAGCGCAGGCGGUUUCUUAAGUCUGAUGUGAAAGCCCCCGGCUCAACCGGGGAGGGUCAUUGGAAACUGGGAGACUUGAGUGCAGAAGAGGAGAGUGGAAUUCCAUGUGUAGCGGUGAAAUGCGUAGAUAUAUGGAGGAACACCAGUGGCGAAGGCGGCUCUCUGGUCUGUAACUGACGCU
rnacentral:rRNA from 1 species